UACGAAGGGGGCUAGCGUUGCUCGGAAUGACUGGGCGUAAAGGGCGCGUAGGCGGUAGCACAAGUCAGUUGUGAAAUCUCCGGGCUUAACUCGGAAAGGUCAACUGAUACUGUGCGACUAGAGUGCAGAAGGGGCAACUGGAAUUCUCGGUGUAGCGGUGAAAUGCGUAGAUAUCGAGAGGAACACCUGCGGCGAAGGCGGGUUGCUGGGCUGACACUGACGCUGAGGCGCGAAAGCCAGGGGAGCGAACGGG
rnacentral:rRNA from 1 species